AUUUGGCUCCAGGACCUUCAGGAUGAUUUCCUCAUUUCCUUAUAUUCCUGCCUGGCCUCCAAACCUGUCACGGCUGUGGAUCCAGAAUAUUCCAUUCUCUUCUUUUCCAAAUAUGACACCAAGAAGCUUUUGGCCUCCCUGGCUGCGUUCAGCCAGCGGUUUUCCCACGUGCCGCUUUCCCCGGAGUGGAGCCUGGUCCUGGUGAACGGGCUGUGGGAGAGGAUUCUGCGAGUGCCCGGCAUCGAGACCCCCCCAGUGCUGGCCCAGUGGGUCCACAGGGGGCUUCAGCCAUUCCUGGUGGAUCCCGAGGUCUUUGGUUGCCUCCGUGCCAAGGAUGUGUCCUGUGAGGAAUUCCGGCUGGUGGUCGCUGCCCUGGAUGGAAUCUAUUCCCAACUCCCUGUGGAAGAGCAGAGGAAUCUUUACACUGGGAUCAAACACUUCCUCAUCCAGGACGAAUCCAACCAGAAAUGCUUCAGCGAAGCCAUUCCAGCUCUGAAUUCCACGGCUUGGUUCCGGAAUUAUCUUGGGUCCUUCCUGGAGCAUGCCACUGUGGACGACCUGCAGCUUUUUGCGGAUGAG